rnacentral:rRNA from 1 species
UGAGUACGAGACGCUAAGGCGUCGAAGUAGUGGAUGUCAUACUUCCAAGAAAAGCUUGCACUGUCAUAAGUAAAAAACGCCUGUACCAUAACUGACACAGGUGGGUAGGUAGAGUAUACUAAGGGGCGCGAGAUAACUCUCUCUAAGGAACUCGGCAAAAUAACUCCGUAACUUCGGGAGAAGGAGUGCCUUAUUCGUAAGGCUGCAAUAACAAGAUCCAAGCAACUGUUUAUCAAAAACACAGGUCUCCGCUAAGUCGUAAGACGAUGUAUGGGGGCUGACGCCUGCCCAGUGCCAGAAGGUUAAAGAAGUCGGUUAGCAUUAGCGAAGCUGGUAACUGAAGCCCUGGUGAACGGCGGCCGUAACAAUAACGGUCCUAAGGUAGCGAAAUUCCUUGUCGGGUAAGUUCCGACCCGCACGAAAGGCGUAAUGAUUUGGAUACUGUCUCGGAGAGGGGCUCGGUGAAAUAGACUUGUCUGUGAAGAUGCGGACUACCUGCACCAGGACAGAAAGACCCUAUGAAGCUUUACUGUAACUUGAAAUUGAAAUUGGACUUUAUUCGCGCAGUAUAGGUGGGAGGUGUUGAUUAUAAUCUUGCGGGAUUAUUGGAGCCAUCAGUGAGAUACCACUCUUGUAAUGUUAGAUUUCUAACUUUGAAUCAUUAUCUGGUCAAAGAACAGUUUCAGGCGGGCAGUUUGACUGGGGCGGUCGCCUCCUAAAUGGUAACGGAGGCGUACAAAGGUUUCCUCUGAACGGGUAGAGAUCGUAUCUAGAGUGUAAAGGCAUAAGGAAGCUUGACUGUGAGACCUACAAGUCGAGCAGGGACGAAAGUCGGUCUUAGUGAUCUGACGGUACUGAGUGGAAAGGCCGUCACUCAACGGAUAAAAGUUACUCUAAGGAUAACAGGCUGAUCUCCCCCAAGAGUUCACAUCGACGGGGAGGUUUGGCACCUCGAUGUCGGCUCAUCGCAUCCUGGGGCGGUAGUACGUCCCAAGGGUUGGGCUGUUCGCCCAUGAAAGCGGUACGCGAGCUGGGUUCAGAACGUCGUGAGACAGUUCGGUCCAUAUCCGGUGUAGGCGUUAGAAUAUUGAGAGGAGCCUUCUUUAGUACGAGAGGACCGAGAAGGACAUACCUCUGGUGUACCAGUUAUCGUGCCAACGGUAAACGCUGGGUAGCUAUGUAUGGAGUGGAUAACCGCUGAAAGCAUCUAAGUGGGAAGCCCACCUCAAGAUAAGUA